CAGUCGCCGCGGUAACACGGAGGGGGCUAGCGUUGUUCGGAAUUACUGGGCGUAAAGCGUACGUAGGCGGCUUUGUAAGUUAGAGGUGAAAGCCAGGAGCUCAACUCCAGAACUGCCUUUGAGACUGCAUCGCUCGAAUCCGGGAGAGGUGAGUGGAAUUCCGAGUGUAGAGGUGAAAUUCGUAGAUAUUCGGAAGAACACCAGUGGCGAAGGCGACUGACUGGACAAGUAUUGACGCUGAGGUGCGAAAGCGUGGGGAGCAAACAGGAUUAGAGACCCCCGUAGUCCCUGUCUCUUAUAC
rnacentral:rRNA from 1 species